CCAUCCACACCCCACACAAGUGAGAGCUCCAUCGCACUAGUUUCUUCCUCUCUCCUUAUUUUGCAAUAUAAAACUAUGCUCAUCCGCUCCCCUCACCGGCGGUGCUACCGUCCUCCUUUUGACGUUUCUCUUGAGCUCAGAGCCGGCGGCUCCAUUCACACUUCACACAAAUCUAACGAGCUUCUCCCUCUCUCCAUCAACGAGCUGCUUUUUCUCUCUGUCGCACGAGCAUCUUUUACUGCUGCCGCCGCCGCUCUCGUCGUACGAGCCCCCUCCGCCGCUGCUCUCGUCGCAUCUACUCCCUUUGUCAUCGUCCCUUGGAGGUUAGAUUUUUAAUCCGCUAAUUAACCGAAACUAAAGCCCUCCGUUUUUCUUCGCUUGGAGGUUAGUUCAUUCAGCGUUCGUUCUUUUCGUUGUUCUUGUUCUACGAUUUGAUAAUGGUGAUUGAUGAUAUUUAUGCAAAUCUGCUUUUGUUCCUUUCGUUCAUUUCGCUUGGAGGUUAGAUUUCAUGCAGAUCUGCUUCAAUCAAAACAAAUGCCCUAAAAGCUGGUAGUAACAAUGAAGGAAGACAAUAUAAUAUGGUGUUGUCUAUAGUGUUGAAGGGAAAAUGGAAGAGUUCUUGGAACAGCUUUUGAGUUCUAGGAACAGAUCAAGAUCAAGGAGUGGAAAAAAGAGAUAUUCAUAUGCGAAAUGCUCAUCAUCUUCUUCAUAUGUUAGUAAGGAAUAAUGAUUGAUCAAUAUUUCACUUUGCUUUUGACACUCGAAUAGGCGAAGAAUAUUUCCAUUUUGACAAAGUCAACUCUUAUCUUGUGCCUCAUUUUUCAAUGAACAAAAGCAUUACUGAGUGUGGUUCUUUAGCUGUAAGCACUUCAAAUCAUUGAAAAAGCCUUAGGUGCCUUCUUCCCGUAUUUGUAAAACUUCUCCAAGAGCUUCAAAAGCUUGAGGAGUAUCGCAUGAACCAGAAAUCCAUUGAUUCAAUGGUAGGAUUGAGAACAUAUAUGGUUUCCCAAUCUGCUGCUGGAUUGCGCCAACUCCAUAGUCGAAACCAUGUCAAGGCUCGACCAGUUAAACCCCUUUCAACUUCUAACAAUAUUUGCUCUUCCGUGGUGCCUCUAGCAUCUCAAAAUUGGUCGGCUAAGAUGGAUCACCAAGAAGAUUGUGAUUUGGUUGGUGAUUUCAGCAAGUAGUUUUUCAACAAUGGAUCAUGCCAACAAUACUCUUGCACUCUUUGUUCUAAUUCAGUAUAUUCCCAGGCUCUUUCUUAUCUUCCCUUUGAACCAGCAUAUUACGAAAACCACUGGCGUUAUUGCCAAAACCCUCUGGAUUGCAGCUGCAUACAAUCUUCUUCUCUACAUGCUAGCUAGUCAUAUUACAGGAGCAACAUGGUAUCUGUCCUCAAUUGGGAGACAAUUCAACUGCUGAAAAGCAGAGUGUGAAAGAGAGAACAGAUCAAAAACCAUAACUUAUUUUCCUACUUUUCUUGAUUGUAACAGUGUGAGGUCACCUGCAAGGCAACACUGGCUAAAUGUCACUCUAAGUUAUUUCCAAAUGUGACCCCAAGGCCAAGCUCAACGUCAAGCAUAAGUUUGGCAUGUUUGCAGAUGCUUUUCUCAAUGAUGUUGUUACUACUAACUUUGUGGAAAGAUACUUCUAUUGUCUUUGGUGGGGAUUAAGAAAUUUAAGUUUGUAUGGACAGAAUUUGGACACAACCACAUACCUCCCAGAGACAUUUUCUGCAUCUUCUUAUGUCUUUCUGGAUUAGGAAGAAUGACACUAAGCAAUGGAUGAGACAUCGCCAAUUGCCUCCAGACUUGCAGGAGUGCGUUCGUCGCCAAUGGAUGAGAUAUUUAUGUAAAGAUAGCAGGGAAAGAUGUAGGAAUAUGGGAAGCACAGAUGCCAAGUGGAAAUUGGCUGAUCACCCAAAGCUGCCAAAGAAAAAUUAAAGCCAGUUGUUGUGGUGGUUUUGGAUGGAUGGGGUGAGGCCAACGCUGAUCAAUACAACUGUAUCCACACUGCUGAAACUCCAACCAUGGAUUCUCUCAAAAAGGGUGCACCUGAAAGGUGGAGAUUAGUGAGGGCUUAUGGUACUGUUGUGGAACUUCCUACAGAGAAUGACAUGGGCAACAGUGAAGUCGAUCACUUUGUUUAAAAUUAGAUAAAAUUAUGUAAAAUUUAGUAUGAUUGAACAAUAUACUGAGGAUUAUAGUUGAUAAUACACUUUGUUUAUGUUUUGAAUUAUAUUGACUUGCUUGUUUAUAAUAAUUUUCUUUUAGUUUUAUAA